ACGCUAGCUACAGGCUUAACACAUGCAAGUCGAGGGGAAACGGCAUUGAGUGCUUGCACUCUUUGGACGUCGACCGGCGCACGGGUGAGUGACGCGUAUCCAACCUUCCCAUUACUGUGGGAUAACCUGCCGAAAGGCAGACUAAUACCGCAUAGUCUUCGAUGACGGCAUCAGAUUUGAAGUAAAGAUUUAUCGGUAAUGGAUGGGGAUGCGUCUGAUUAGCUUGUUGGCGGGGUAACGGCCCACCAAGGCAACGAUCAGUAGGGGUUCUGAGAGGAAGGUCCCCCACAUUGGAACUGAGACACGGUCCAAACUCCUACGGGAGGCAGCAGUGAGGAAUAUUGGUCAAUGGACGGAAGUCUGAACCAGCCAAGUAGCGUGCAGGAUGACGGCCCUAUGGGUUGUAAACUGCUUUUGUAUGGGGAUAAAGUUAGGGACGUGUCCCUAUUUGCAGGUACCAUACGAAUAAGGACCGGCUAAUUCCGUGCCAGCAGCCGCGGUAAUACGGAAGGUCCAGGCGUUAUCCGGAUUUAUUGGGUUUAAAGGGAGCGUAGGCUGGAGAUUAAGUGUGUUGUGAGAUGUAGACGCUCAACGUCUGAAUUGCAGCGCAUACUGGUUUCCUUGAGUACGCACAACGUUGGCGGAAUUCGUCGUGUAGCGGUGAAAUGCUUAGAUAUGACGAAGAACUCCGAUUGCGAAGGCAGCUGACGGGAGCGCAACUGACGCUUAAGCUCGAAGGUGCGGGUAUCAAACAGGAUUAGAUACCCUGGUAGUCCGCACAGUAAACGAUGGAUGCCCGCUGUUGGUACCUGGUAUCAGCGGCUAAGCGAAAGCAUUAAGCAUCCCACCUGGGGAGUACGCCGGCAACGGUGAAACUCAAAGGAAUUGACGGGGG
rnacentral:rRNA from 1 species